rnacentral:rRNA from 1 species
UACAGAGGGUGCGAGCGUUAAUCGGAGUUACUGGGCGUAAAGGGCGCGUAGGCGGUUAUGUGAGUGUGAUGUGAAAGCCCUGGGCUUAACCUAGGAAGUGCAUCGCAAACGACAUGACUGGAGUAUAUGAGAGGGUGGCGGAAUUUCCGGUGUAGCGGUGAAAUGUGUAGAGAUCGGAAGGAACGUCGAUGGCGAAGGCAGCCACCUGGCAUAAUACUGACGCUGAGGCGCGAAAGCGUGGGGAGCGAACAGG